UUUUGGUUUUCUAAACUCUAUUCUUUUAUGUUUUGUAGCACAAGUUGCAAGUUAUGUCUCUUUCAUUUCAACUAGCUAGGUCCAAUUUAACAUAUUCUAAUAAUUCUUUUCAGAACCAUAUCCCUCGUAUCCUUCUCUCAUUCAUGUGCAUAGAUACACUCUAUAAAUAAGAGUAGAUUAUAAAGAACUAAAACUACAACAACUUAUAUACUCUCCAAUAUGAAGGCCUUCUACAUAGUAAGCUUUCUUUUAGCUUCCAUCAUCUUUGUUCCUUCCUCUAUAACAUCUCGAGAACUAUCUCAGAAAGAAGAAAAACGUGCACUAGUAGGGUAUGAUCCGGUUACUAAUUGCAGCAGCAAUCCGAAGAAAAGCUGUGCACCUCCAAGGCCGAAGAAGUGUAACCCAUACAUUCGCAAAUGCCCUCCUUGAAAAAAGAUGGUAAUUAUAUUAAUUAAGGUGGAUAUUGUAAUGAAAUAAGAGUGAAUGCAUGGCAAAGAAGAAUAAUUUGACUUUGUGUCACACAACGAUCGCUUGCAGGAAUUUGAGAUUGAGGAAGAGGAUUAAUAAUGCAGUUAUUAUGUUUAGUUGUCAUUUCGGAAAGUACUCUAUAUAUAUAUAAUAUAUGAAUAUGUGUGUACGUUUUGAAAGUAUGUAAUUUUCCUUAA